CAACCACCACAAACCACCAGCUAGUUCCAAAACCCAACCAAAAUUGGCAAGAUAACACCUCCAAUCCACGCUUUAACAACGAGGAGAACAAAAACUAAGACAAGAAUAGAGCUAAAGAGGGAGAGGCCGGAUCUGGUGCUGAGGAAGCCACCAAAAUCCAGCCUCCAUCUGAAUUUUUUUUUUCCUUCGGCGGCUAGGUCAAGAGAGAGGAACCAUAUAUAACUUGUAUAUUUUUUUUUGUGAAGAUCACAUAUCUACCAGUUUCGUUUAGGCUUC
rnacentral:lncRNA from 1 species